UUGACAGCAAAUCUUCCUUACAAUCCGAAGACGUAAUGUGGACCGAACCAAAGUAGGGAAGCGUGUGAGCCAUGUGCCAAGAAAAGCCGCUAUAGUGAUACACAUACCCGUACCGUAAACCGACACAGGUGGAUGAGGAGAGAAUCCUAAGGCCGACGGGAGAAGCAUUGUUAAGGAACUCGGCAAAAUGACCCCGUAACUUCGGGAGAAGGGGUGCCCUGUGAAAGCAGGGCCGCAGAGAAUAGGCUCAAGCAACUGUUUAGCAAAAACACAGGUCUAUGCGAAACCGAAAGGUGAGGUAUAUGGGCUAACGCCUGCCCGGUGCUGGAAGGUUAAGAGUAGAAGUCAGGCAACGAAGCUUCGAAUUUAAGCCCCAGUAAACGGCGGCCGUAACUAUAACGGUCCUAAGGUAGCGAAAUUCCUUGUCGGGUAAGUUCCGACCCGCACGAAAGGCGUAAUGAUUUGAGCACUGUCUCGACAAUGCAUCCGGUGAAAUUGAAGUACCAGUGAAGAUGCUGGUUACCUGCGCCAGGACGGAAAGACCCCAUGGAGCUUUACUCCAGCUUGAUACUGGGAUUCGAUACUGUAUGUACAGGAUAGGUGGGAGACGUUGAGCAUAGAACGCCAGUUUUAUGUGAGUCGCUGUUGGGAUACCACCCUUGCAGUAUUGGAUUUCUAACCUGCACCCAUGACCUGGGUGGGGGACAAUGUCUGGCGGGGAGUUUGACUGGGGCGGUCGCCUCCGAAAGGGUAUCGGAGGCGCUCAAAGGUUCCCUCAGAAUGGUUGGAAACCAUUCGAAGAGUGCAAAGGCAGAAGGGAGCUUGACUGUGACACCGACGGGUGGAACAGGUACGAAAGUAGGACUUAGUGAUCCGGUGGUAUAAAGUGGGAUUGCCAUCGCUCAACGGAUAAAAGCUACCUGGGAUAACAGGCUUAUCACUCCCAAGAGUUCACAUCGACGGAGUGGUUUGGCACCUCGAUGUCGGCUCAUCGCAUCCUGGGGCUGUAGCAGGUCCCAAGGGUUGGGCUGUUCGCCCAUUAAAGCGGUACGCGAGCUGGGUUCAGAACGUCGUGAGACAGUUCGGUCCCUAUCCGGCGCAGGCGGAGGAUAUUUGAGAGGAGCUGUCCUUAGUACGAGAGGACCGGGAUGGACGGACCACUGGUGUAUCUGUUGGCUAUCAGAGCCAUGGCAGAGUAGCCAAGUCCGGCAGGGAUAAACGCUGAAGGCAUCUAAGCGUGAAGCCCCCCUCAAGAUGAGAUAUCCCUCAGAAAUGAGUAAGACCCCUUGAAGACUACGUGGUAGAUAGGAAUGAGGUGUAAGCACAGCAAUGUGUUCAGCUGACAUUUACUAAUCGGUCGAGGGCUUGACCAU
rnacentral:rRNA from 1 species